rnacentral:lncRNA from 1 species
GGUCUGAGAAUGAGAGCUGCAGACCAGUCUUCAGUGGCAGACUAUGGGCUCUGGUCUGCAGUAUGGAACUGCUGGAUGGGCACAGAGGCCACCUGCGUGCCUUCAGGCCAGUCUGCAACCUGAGCUCGAUAGCAGUAAACUCAAGCAGUUUGCUUGGGCUAGAGAUGUCCAUUCACCCUGAAAUUCCUCCUUGGUCAUGGCCUUUUCAGCAGUGGCCUGCUCUUUCUUUUCUAUUUCUUUAGAAUCUCUGUAGAAAUAGAUCAGGCAUGAUCUCCCAUGGGUGUGCAUGAGGGAUGGUGGCACAGGUGCACAGAACUUCCCGCACCAUCAUGUACCACACGAGCCCCACUGAGCUCCCUUGUUGUUGCACAGGAUGGCAAUGUGCACAUAGCAUGGGGGAGAGUCUGUGAUACACAGAGCAGUGGUUGGCAGGUUAACAUAAGAUGCCUCCAUGGGAGGCUGGUGGUCAGCCCUGGCCUCAGUAACCACCAGAAGAUGUGGUUCUUGGAAGUCUGCCUGGAUCUGGUUAUUGAAAGUUCUGGGAGUGAAGUACCCAGCAGUAGGAGUGGCUACAGUGGCACCAGCAAAAUUCAGGACAGCCCACUGGCCGGUGUUCCUGGAGGCCGUGACACUGACACCAACUGGGUUUUCAAUGGCAACAAUGGCACAAGCCAUCAGUGGAAGCUUCUUCCAGGUCCCCUUCAGAUUUAUGAUGUAGAUGCCAUCACUUUAACUUUUGUAGAUGUACUGUUCCAUUUGGAAGUCAGAGUUGGUGCCACCUAAGUAGGUUCCUGCUGCAAGGAAUUUAGGGAUAUCCUCUUCCUUCAUUUGUAGGACAUCAGAGGCUCUGGGCACUAUAAAAGUUUCCCUUUAAGUUAUUAUGGGACCCUAUGACCACACCAUGUGGACCCCUGUCUGGGUGGUACAGAGUGGCAUACCUAAAGUUUGAUCACUGAUACGCUCACUCUUCUGUGGCUGGAAAUCCUAAAAAAAAGAUAAAAUGUUAAGGGAGUUAUUAUGCUGAGUAAAACACCCAGGCUUAGGAACUAGUGUGCAUAAGACCUCAAAUUUCUUUCUGGCUCUCAAUAUGAGAGUCAUGAUUGUUUCCCUUGCGUCAUCCUCUGCAUGUGGCUUUUCAUCUUACAUUCUGGUUUUGCUCCAGGAGACUACACUGUCUUAUGCCAGGAACCUGAUGAAAGGUCACACUCAGAAUGGCCAGGCUGGGAAGAGCUCACUUAACAGCAUAGGUCUCUAACUACAUUCUCUAGUGCUCUACCUCAGUGAGGUAAAAGUAAGAAUGAAAAAUUCCAAAGAAGCCUAAAAUUUAGAUUUUGUCCUGAGAGUAUAACUGGAAAGUUUUUUGUUCUGAGUUGUGUAACCAGGAAUGGGUGAGUUUCUGUCAUUUCCCCACCAAAUAAAAAGGAAUUUAUGACGAAUCAUUGUUAAAUACAGUGAUGUGGACUUAUUCUUUCCAGCUUAGUGUGACCCAUCCCAACCUUUUACAGCCAGUUUCUUUAAAGACAGCAUGAGAAACCUCAGUGUCCUCUGGAGGUGUUUGUAAAUGGAUGCCAGCCCAGCCUUUAUUACACUGGGUUUAUACAUCAUAUAAUUGCCCAUCUUGAUAUACCUCUUUCAGACUCUGCUUGAGCAAGGGCAAAAUGAGUUGAGGAUUGUCUUUUGCUGCAAAUCCUGAUCUUUGGUAUUUUUUGGUUGACAGUGCUUUCUCUUUUUCCAUGUUGUCCUUGGAUUUCUUGAAGUUUCUCUUUUUUUCAGUCUUUUUUUUUUUUAAAUCUACAUACAUUAUGUCAACUUAGGUUGUUAUUCACCUAAAUUCAAUUCAAAGUACCAUGGCAAAAAUUUACUGAGCACUUGUUCUAUAUAAAGCAUGAUGGAGCUGUUUUUUUAAAGCUUCAACACAGAGUCUUUAGAGCUGUGGGAUCCAAUAGGGUAGCUAUUAUUGACAUGUGGCUAUUUAAACUUAAAUUAAUUAAAAUUAAAUGAAAUAAAGAUUUUAUUUCCUCAGUUUACUAGCCAUAUUUCAAGUGCUUCAUAGCCAAAUAUGGCUAGUGGCUACUGUAUUGGGCAUCACAGAUAGAGAAUGUUUUCAUCAUUAUGGAAAGUUCUCUUGGACAGUGCUGUUAUUAUAGAGUUUCAGUUAUAUAGGACUUCAACUCACUACUUGUCUUUCAUUUAUGAGAUAGUCAAAAACUCAUAUCUUUCAAUGAGAAUGUUUUUUAGCAAUUCAAAUAACACUUAUUGAAUUUUACUGUUAGGUACUAUGGGAGAUAAAAGGAAAAAUAAAAUAUGUUUCUUGUCCUCAAGGAACUUAAAAAACAUAUAUGUAUCUUAAAUUUAAUGUUUUUUUAAAUGUUUAUUUAUUUUUGAGAGAGAGAGUGAGCAAGUGAUCAUGAGUGGGGAGGGACAGAGAGUGAGGGAGACAGAGGAUCCAAAGCAGGCUUUGUGUUGACAGCAGACGGCCCUAUAUGAGGUUCGAAUUCACAAACUGUGAGAUCAUGACCUGAGCUGAAGUUGGACACUUAACCAAUUGAGCCACCAAGGUGCCCCAGUAACUUAAAAUAUAUGGAGGAAAACUGGCACAUAACACAACUAAUGAGAUUAAUAGGGUAGGAUAUGCAAAGUGAUGUAGUAGAGGCAUAAUCAAAGUACAAUGGACUCGUUUGAGGAGGGAUUUCUUUUUUUUUAUCAUUUAAAAAAAUUUAUUUAUUUAUUUUGAGAGAGACUGAGAGUGAGGGAGAGGCAGAGAGAGAGAGAGAGAGAGAGAGAAUCCCAAGCAGGCUCCACAUUAUCAGCAUAGAGCCCCACUUGGGGUUUGAGCUCAUGACCCGUGAGAUCAUGACCUGAGCCGAGAUCAAGAGUCCAUGCUCAACCAGCUGAGCCACCCAGGUGCCUCUGCAUUAGAAUCUUCAUUUGAAAGGGGGCGUUUAGAAAGGAAAGGGCAUCAGGAAGGCAGAAAGUCAUUUUAGGUGGCAAGGGAAGAAUAUGAGUAAAGACAUGGAAUAGGGAAAGCAGUUUUGUCUAAGGCAGGUAAUAUGGCAUAGAGAUUAAGAACAUAGCCUCUAGGGACAACCUGUCUGGGCUCAAAAACCUGGCUUUACUUCUUUUUAACAAGUAGAUUCAUCUUUCUAAGUCUGUUUCUUCAUCUGUAAAAUGGAGCUAAUAGUAAAACAGUAGCUAUCUAACAGAGAAUUUGUAAGGAUUCAAUAAGAUACUGUUUUUGGAGACUUGGCACAGUGCCUGGCUUAUAUCAGACCACUAGGGGAGGAACUGGGGGAAAGUGAAUUUGCAAAUAACAGAGUCUGCCAACAAUGGUUGAAUUUAGUGGCUGAAAUAAGAUAGAAGAUAAUUUCCCUUUCAGUUAAAAAUCUAGAGGUAGGCAAUCCAGAAUUGAUAGGUUGGCUCUCUUCCACAAAGUCAUCAAGGACCCAGUUCCUUCUAACUUUCUGGUACACCAUCGCUAGGGUGUGGCCCUUGUCAUCAAAGUCCAGGAUGGAACUUUAGUCAUGAUAUUCAUGUCCCAAUCAGCAAAAUAAGUAGGCAUCCUUUGUCUCUUAUGGUUCCCAGAAGUUGAAACCUGACAUUUCCACUUGCAUAUCAUUGGCAUGAAUUCAGUCACAUGGCCACAUCUAGCUGCAGGGAAACUGGGAAACGUCUUUUUUCUGGGUGGCCUUUUUACCAGCUAAAAUUUUUAUUACUAAUAGAAGAGGGGAAAUGGAUAUUGGAGGAUAUUAGCAGUCUCUGUUACAAAGAGGGACAAGAAUGAAGCCAGAUGACAGAGAUCUUCUAUGCAGUCUAAGGAGUUUGUACUUUUAUUGCUUUGGCUCUGUGGAGCUACUGAUACUCUCCACAUAGGGAAUUAAUACAAUUAGAGGCUGUUCAUGUAAUGGACUUGGACGUGGUUCCUCAAAUCAGCAAUACUCACCCCAGAAAUACUCAGAUACUUGCAAGAACAGUUACUCUCAAUUAAAAAAAAAAUUCCCCUUGAGCUUCUAACAGUCUUUCCCAUUCUCCUUCCUCUUUAAGGAAGGAAUGAGGUAACCUGAGGGGAGGAAAUGUGAGAAGGCAAUCCUUCCACCUGGCAGCUCUCUUUUAGACUUCCUCCAGUGCAUCAUUGGCGCUCUCAAAAUGUGCUGAGAAUGGAAAUCAGUUCUUUAUAUGGGCAGGUGCCAAGCAAAGGGAAUUGGUAUCUUAUUAUCAGGAUAUCGUGCUCUUUCUCUGAGUACUUUGUGGUUACCCUAGACACUGCACUGUUGAUGGGGUACCCGACUAGAUUCUAAGCAGCUUGAGGACAGAAUUCAGGUAUUGAGUCCAUAUCUUCUGCAUUUAACACAGUGCCUAGUGUAAAGCACGCAUAAAAUUGUCAGAUGUCUGGAUAAAUGCUGAGUCUGUAAAUGCUGCCUAGGAUAGUGUUGGCUUUAAAGCAGUUGUACCAGGGCUUAAAUCCUCAUACUGAGUCUGUGGUGAAAGCAUCUCAGGCAAAGGCUAAGAAAAGAUUUAUGUAAGGUGAAGACAUAAUUGUGUCCACUUGGAGUGUGGUUCUGCUCGGAAUGCACUGGAUAGUGAAACAAUGAGAUCAGGUCAAAUAAUUUGUGUUAAAUUCUGAAGCCUGUCUUUUCUUAGUCUUUAAUAUUCUAGGCACUACUUUACUAAGACAAUAAAAAUAUACUGAAUUUGUGUGUUUACAAAAUAUAUCUUGAGGUAAGCCCCUCCAAAAAUGUUUUUAUUUAUUAUUUAUUUUUUUAAGUAAUCUUUUUGCCCAAUGUGGGGCUCAAAUUCAUGACCCCGAGAUCAAGAGCACAUACUCUACCUACUGAGCCAGCCAGGCACCCCCAAAAAGAUUUGUUUUUGAUGUUUAUUUAUUUUUGAGAGAGAGAGAGGGAAAAAUAGAACAAGCAAGGGUGGGGCAGAGAGAGAGGGAGACAGAGGAUCAGAAGUGGGUUCUGUGCUGACAGCAGAGAGCCCAAUGUGGGGUCCAAACUUAGGAGCCAUGAGAUCAUGACCUGAGGCGAAGUCAGACACUUAACUGGCUGAGCCACCCAGGCACCCCCCCACCAAAGAUUUUUAAAUCAACAAAUAUUUACUAAGUAUGUGUAAAGCAUUAUGGUAAGGGCCAGAAGGAAUAAAACUUACAAAGAACCAAUCCUUGCUUUCAAGGAAUUUACAAUCAACAAACACUGUGCUAGGUUGUAGGAAUCUAAGUAUGGUUGACUAGACUCCUACUCACAUGGGACUUACAAUAUGGUAUGAAAAACAGACAGAUAAACAGAUGACUGCCUGUACUGUGAUUUAGUGUUUGAACCUUUCUCAGAGCCAAAUAUACAUAUUUUGGUAAAAAUCUGAAAAAAAUCUGUACAUUUGAGAUUUUGUAAAGUCUGCAGACACAUUCUAGUUAACUAGUAUAUAAAAUGUUUUCGAGGAGUUGGAUAUAUUUCAGGAGCGGCAGUGAUGUGGUAUGCAACCAGGAGAGAGAGAGACAGGGAAAAAAAAAGAGGGUUGAUCAUUUUGAGGUGACAUUAAAUUAUCUUUUGACACCAGCUGUAUCUUUUUUAUAACAGAAAGUGGAAACAACUCUGUCCUUGACCUUCAAAAAGAAAUUGACUUACCUAGCUUAACUAUUCAAACAAACAACUGUGUACUCUCUUCAAUUCCUAUGAUGAUUUUGAUUUACUGUAAAUGACUGAAUUUAAUGAACUAAAUUAUGCUAUUUAAAUGCAUUUUGUGAAUGGUAUUGUAGUUUGUUACAAAGCAUUAUGUCUAUGCUAAAUUGUGCUGUAAAUGAUAUGGUAUGGAACAUAUGUGCUGUAUUCAUAAUUUAACUGUUGCUAUGGAGUACCUUCUUGGAUAGGACAUACUGAAAAAGGAGCCUUUAUUUACCUGGUGAAAUGAAGGUGAUAUCUCAGCAAAUCACUAGGUCUUACUGACCUUGGCAGAAUUACAGUGCUAAUAUUUUCACAUGGAUGAACUGUUCUUGAACAAUUUCUCUAAUGUAUAUGGCAGAAA